CUAGUCUAGUUAUUCCAAAAAAAAUGUUCAUAAUUUUUGUGUGGUCAGAUAAUGAUGUGUACGGUAAACAACAUAGACUGCUCUAGGAUACAAAAACAGGACAACAUCGAGAUAAAGCGAACCCCACACUAUAAAACCGGAUAAAUAGAAACUUAAGGUUUUCAACUACGGAAGUUGUGGACAUGCCCACACUUUCCCAACAAUCAUAACAAAAAUCCAACUCAAAUGCUGCCAUAAACACAAUCCAACUAAUCAACUAAGUUCACAAGACACCAAAUGACUCGACACGACUUGCACUUCUAACGGCUUUAUUACACAAUGGAUAUCAACACCUAUGGCUCUUUUUUCUUGCGGAGCCUAUCAUACACUACUACAUUAAUUUUGAUGAAGGCGGGCAAAAACACUUAAUCAAGGUGGGUUGGCCAACCGCCUCAGAUAAACAUCACGGUUAAUCAUGACCUUAACCGAGGCAGUUAUAAUGCCCACCUCGGUAAAUCGAUAAAAAAACAAAAAAACUUGGAUAAGCCUGUUGAGCCCAUCCACGGCCCGCCGAGCCUAUCCAUGGCUGCCAGAUCCACACGUGCACGUCGCAGCUCGUCGGGUCCGCCCUCCACCAGAUCUGCCCCGUAGGAGCCGCCAGAUCCACGCGUGCACACAAUCACUCAUCAGACCC
rnacentral:lncRNA from 1 species